rnacentral:rRNA from 1 species
UACGUAGGGCGCAAGCGUUGUCCGGAAUUAUUGGGCGUAAAGAGCUCGUAGGCGGCCAGUUGCGUCUGCUGUGAAAUCCCGGGGCUCAACCCCGGGCGUGCAGUGGAUACGGGCUGGCUAGAGGCAGGCAGGGAAGAACGGAAUUCCCGGUGUAGCGGUGAAAUGCGCAGAUAUCGGGAGGAACACCGGUGGCGAAGGCGGUUCUCUGGGCCGUUACUGACGCUGAGGAGCGAAAGCGUGGGGAGCGAACAGG